GACGAACGCUGGCGGCGUGCUUAACACAUGCAAAUCGAACGGUAAGGCCCUUCGGGGUACACGAGUGGCGAACGGGUGAGUAACACGUGGGUGAUCUGCCCUGCACUUCGGGAUAAGCCUGGGAAACUGGGUCUAAUACCGGAUAGGACUCCUGGCUUCAUGGUUGGGGGUGGAAAGCUUUUGUGGUGUGGGAUGGGCCCGCGGCCUAUCAGCUUGUUGGUGGGGUAAUGGCCUACCAAGGCGACGACGGGUAGCCGGCCUGAGAGGGUGACCGGUCACACUGGGACUGAGAUACGGCCCAGACUCCUACGGGAGGCAGCAGUGGGGAAUAUUGCACAAUGGGCGCAAGCCUGAUGCAGCGACGCCGCGUGAGGGAUGACGGCCUUCGGGUUGUAAACCUCUUUCAGCAUCGACGAAGCGAAAGUGACGGUAGGUGCAGAAGAAGGACCGGCCAACUACGUGCCAGCAGCCGCCGCCG
rnacentral:rRNA from 1 species